rnacentral:rRNA from 1 species
GACGAACGCUGGCGGCGUGCUUAACACAUGCAAGUCGAACGGAAAGGCCCUGCUUUUGUGGGGUGCUCUAGUGGCGAACGGGUGAGUAACACGUGAGUAACCUGCCCUUGACUUUGGGAUAACUUCAGGAAACUGGGGCUAAUACCGGAUAGGAGCUCCUGCUGCAUGGUGGGGGUUGGAAAGUUUCGGCGGUUGGGGAUGGACUCGCGGCUUAUCAGCUUGUUGGUGGGGUAGUGGCUUACCAAGGCUUUGACGGGUAGCCGGCCUGAGAGGGUGACCGGCCACAUUGGGACUGAGAUACGGCCCAGACUCCUACGGGAGGCAGCAGUGGGGAAUAUUGCACAAUGGGCGGAAGCCUGAUGCAGCAACGCCGCGUGCGGGAUGACGGCCUUCGGGUUGUAAACCGCUUUCGCCUGUGACGAAGCGUGAGUGACGGUAAUGGGUAAAGAAGCACCGGCUAACUACGU